ACGAAGGGGGCUAGCGUUGUUCGGAAUUACUGGGCGUAAAGCGCGCGCAGGCGGUUUUCCAAGUCAGAGGUGAAAGCCCAGAGCUCAACUCUGGAACUGCCUUUGAAACUGGAAAACUAGGGUACGGGAGAGGUGAGUGGAAUUCCGAGUGUAGAGGUGAAAUUCGUAGAUAUUCGGAAGAACACCAGUGGCGAAGGCGGCUCACUGGCCCGUUACCGACGCUCAGGCGCGACAGCGUGGGGAGCAAACAGG
rnacentral:rRNA from 1 species